CUUGACGUGACUCUUCAAGGAUCAUCUGGAGGAAAAAUACAAGUAUCUCUUCAAACAAGUCGCUGAACCCACAGAUUUAUGUGACCAACGAAGCCUGAGUCUUUUGCUUUACGAUGCAGUCCAGAUCCCUUGGCAGCUGGGUGAGGUAGCUUCAUUUGGAGGCUGCAACAUUGAACCAAGUAUCCGCAGUUGCUUCCAACAUGGCCAGAACAAACCAGAGAUUGACGUUGAACGCUUUGUCGAGUGGAUGAGAUUGGAGCCUCAGUCCAUGGUGUGGCUGCCUGUUCGACACCGUGUGGCAGCUGCUGAAACUGCAAAACAU